UACCAAGUCGAACGGGUAGGCACAGAAGGAGCUUGCUCUCGGGUGACGGAGUGGGGGACGGGUGAGUAAUGUCCUGCGGAAAACUGCCCGAUGGAGGGGGAUAACUACUGGCAAACGGUAGCUAAUACCGCAUAACGUCGCAGGACCAAAGAGGGGGACCUUCGGUGCCUCUUGCCAUCGGAGGUGCCCAGAUGGGAUUAGCUUGGAGGUGAGGUAACGGCUCACCGAGGCGACGAUCCCUAGUUGGUCUGAGAGGAUGACCCACCCCGCUGGAACUGAAACACGGUCCAGACUCCUACGGGAGGCAGUAGUGGGGAAUAUUGCACAAUGGGCGCAAGCCUGAUGCAACCCUGCCGCGUGUAUGAAGAAGGCCUUCGGGUUGUAAAGUACUUUCAGCGGGGAAGAAGGUGUUAAGGUUAAUAACCUCAUCGAUUGACGUUACCCGCAGAAGAAGCACCGGCUAACUCCGUGCCAGCAUCCGCGGUAAUACGGAGGGUGCAACCGUUAAUCGGAAUUACUGGGCGUAAAGCGCACGCAGGCGGUCUGUCAAGUCAAAUGUGAAAUCCCCGGGCUCAACCUGGGAACUGCAUUCGAAACUGGCAAGCUGGAGUCUUGUAGAGGGGGGUAGAAUUCCACGUGUAGCGGUGAAAUGCGUACAUAUCUGGAAGAAUACCGGUGGCGAAGGCUGCCCCCUGGACAAAGACUGACGCUCAAGUGCGAAAGCGUGGGGAGCAUACGGGAUUAGAUACCCUGGUAGUCCACGCUGUAGACGAUGUCCACUUGGAUGUUGUUACCUUGAGGAGUGGCUUCCGGAGCUAACGUGUUAACUCGACCGUCCGGUGGACUACAGCCACACUGUUAAGACUCAAAUGAAUUCCCGGGCGCCCGCACAAGCUGUGGAUCAUGUCGUUUAAUUCGGAUGCAACGCGAACAACCUUACCUACUCUAGACAUCCGCAGAACUUAACAGAUAUGCUUUGGUGCCUUACGGAACUCUGAGACGGUUGCUGCAUGGCUGUCCUCAGCUCGUGUGGUAAAAUGCUAGGAUCAAGUCCCGGCACCGAGUGCUAACCUUUAUUCUUUGUUAGCGGGGGAUUCGGUCCGGGAACUCCAAGGAAACCGCCCUUAAAAAAACUGGGAGAAAGUGGGGAUUAACUCCUUCUAUUUCCCCUUUUAAUUGGCUUCCCUUUCCUUAAUGGAA
rnacentral:rRNA from 1 species